GAUGAACGCUCGCGGCGUGCCUAAUACAUGCAAGUCGAGCGAACAGACGAGGAGCUUGCUCCUCUGACGUUAGCGGCGGACGGGUGAGUAACACGUGGAUAACCUACCUAUAAGACUGGGAUAACUUCGGGAAACCGGAGCUAAUACCGGAUAAUAUAUUGAACCGCAUGGUUCAAUAGUGAAAGACGGUUUUGCUGUCACUUAUAGAUUGAUCCGCGCCGCAUUAGCUAGUUGGUAAGGUAACGGCUUACCAAGGCAACGAUGCGUAGCCGACCUGAGAGGGUGAUCGGCCACACUGGAACUGAGACACGGUCCAGACUCCUACGGGAGGCAGCAGUAGGGAAUCUUCCGCAAUGGGCGAAAGCAUGACGGAGCAACGCCGCGUGAGUGAUGAAGGUCUUCGGAUCGUAAAACUCUGUUAUUAGGGAAGAACAAAUGUGUAAGUAACUAUGCACGUCUUGACGGUACCUAAUCAGAAAGCCACGGCUAACUACGUG
rnacentral:rRNA from 1 species